GGGGCAUUUAUAGCCAAGGACCUGGCCCAUAUUUCAUUUUGGCUAUUUACAACCAAAAGGUACAUCAAAUAUUGUAGCCUACACCCCACGGACUGUUAGGUGUACAACAAUAAUUCACUCUUGCCUCCUUUUUCAGGUAUCACGGCUCAAGAUGUCUUUGAUGAAGAAAUAAUCAAGAGAUGUGCUGGACCCUGUCAGAGAGGUGUUUCAGUGACCACAUUUCUUUUAAGACAAUGACCCAAAACGCACUGCCGCCCGGGUUUAAAUUGCAAAUGAGGGCAUAAACUGGGUCAAGAUGCCAGCAGAGUCUCCUGAUUUAAACCCGAUCGAACUUGUUUGGCAUCAACUGAAAACAUGAAUCCGUAACUCUGCCAAGCCGACAAGCAAAGAUGAACUGAACUGGUCAAGGCCAUGAAGAUGUUUUGGCUAGAAAAAGACGAUACAACAAAUACAUUGAUCAUCUCAGCAAGAUUUUACCUGUGGUCGUGGAGCUGUGUGGAAGUGCAACCAAAAUGUAGUUUAAAUAAACAGCAUUUGAAUGUAUUUUUUCUCGUUAUUUUAUUAACGAAAGCAUAAAGAUGUUGAUGAAGAAAUACUGUACUGCUGUUUUGAGUUAGAAACGUAACACUUUAGAGUACUCAAGCAUCGAAUACAUUGCAACUUGAGGGAUUUUCACAACAGUAGCCGGGUUAUAAAUAGUCUAUUGUCCUGCUAAUAGGAAACAUUUGCAUGAUGGGAUACACCUACUACAGUACACUUGCCUCCAGUUGUCCAUCAGUACUGUAAAUAAAAACACAGCAUCUUGUUUACAUCUUGUUUACAAUCCUACUUCUAUUAGGCUGUUAAGCCUCAUAGCCUACCCCUAUAUCUUUUUUUUCUCAGAACAUGAACCGUGUGUAGGUAGAUACGUGUGUAGGUAGAUGUGGAAAGGUAGACAAAUGAUUUGUUGCAAGUUGGGGGGGGGUUCACACCUAGCUCGGCUAUUAGACAAUUCUUUAGUCAAGGUUGAACGGUCUAUUGUUCAUCUAAUAGCCCAUCCUAGAAACCUGGUUAGCAGAAUUCACAGCCUGCUACACUUGUGAAAAACUAAUAAUACUUGUUCCCCUUUCCACUUGUUAGUGUUUUUAGCCACAAUCGGCCCCAACCCCAAAUAAUA